GGUUUCGUAGUGUAGUGGUUAGCACUCCAGACUUUGAAUCUGGCGACCUGGGUUCGAAUCCCGGGGAGACCU
rnacentral:tRNA from 1 species